GAAAUAUCAAAAAUAAGCUUCUAACUUUAAAAAAAGCACUAACGUGUUUAUAUUUCU
rnacentral:tRNA from 1 species